rnacentral:rRNA from 1 species
ACGAACGCUGGCGGCGUGCUUAACCCCUGCAAGUCGAGCGGAAAGGCCCUUCGGGGUACUCGAGCGGCGAACGGGUGAGUAACACGUGAGUAAUCUGCCCUUGGCUUUGGGAUAACUACCGGAAACGGUGGCUAAUACCGGAUACGACAACCGUCUGCAUGGGCUGGUUGUGGAAAGUUUUUUCGGCCAGGGAUGUGCUCGCGGCCUAUCAGCUUGUUGGUGGGGUAAUGGCCUACCAAGGCUUCGACGGGUAGCCGGCCUGAGAGGGUGACCGGCCACACUGGGACUGAGACACGGCCCAGACUCCUACGGGAGGCAGCAGUGGGGAAUAUUGGACAAUGGGCGGAAGCCUGAUCCAGCAACGCCGCGUGAGGGAUGACGGCCUUCGGGUUGUAAACCUCUUUCAGUACCGACGAAGCGCCGAUGAUGGUGGUGACGGUAGGUACAGAAGAAGCACCGGCCAACUACGUG